GGAAAGGGGACUGGCCAAUGAGCAUCUCGUACACCAGCACACCAAAGGACCACCAGUCCACAGAGAAGGUGUACUUCUGUCCAAGAAGGAUCUGAGACGAGGGAUUUGACAAACACAUCAAAAGGCAGACGUGCUGUGUUCAGUGCUCGCGUGCUUACCUUUGACUGGAAGGUGGAGUAGAGGUGUGUGAGGAAGGGGUUCUCCCAAGCCAGAGACAGCACUCUCUUCUCCACCAUGGUGCACUCCACGUCGUCGUCCAUGAGAACCACGUCUUUCUUCAGAACCUUCACAGCAAAGAACUGACCCUGGCCCUUCAGUUCCGCCAGCAGCACCUGGAAAAGCAGAGCCGGAGAGUCAGGACUGCAUCAUUUUAAAUCAGCAGUGUUCAUCUGUAUCAGUAUCACUUUUUGCGUGAUUACACAAUCAUUUUAUAUUUAUUAUAUACGGCUGUGCGGUGUACCUUGCCAAAGCUGCCCUUGCCCAGCACUUUGUGGAACACCAGGUGGUUCAUGGUGAGGUGUUUCCUGGAAACUGGGGUUGCUGGGGGAGGGGUCACACCCUUCUUAGGUCUGUCUGCUUUAGACACACAUUUGUACACAGUAAAUAAAUGUGCAAAAUUCCUACAAUUAUAACUAGAACGCAAACACAGUUAAAUACUAUCAGUGUAUUGACUAAACCCAUCAUAUCCUUGAAGAUAAAACUAAUGACCAUGUCUUACCACUAGGGUCCACUGUUGCACUUUGAAUGUCCUGGUAAACGCCAACAUCUGGUGAAUUUGAUUUAUCAUUUUUCUUUGAAGGUUUCUGUGGAGGAAAAAAAGCCGAGCCAAAACAUUUUUGACUGUGCAGCCAGAUAAAAUGUCCAAAUGACAAGUUAAGAGUUAAAAUGAUAAUGUCCGAACCUGAGAGAUUUGACCCAGAGCUUCUGCCAGGAGUUUCUGGUUGAUUCCGCACAGAUUGGCCACUUUAUUCUGACAGUAACUAUGAACGUUCAUGGCACAGUCUACUCAAAGUAAAAAAAAAAAUAGGAUUAGUUAUGGGGAGAGAAGAAUUGUAAUAAAAAUAUAUACAUAUAUAUCAGGGUAGCAAUAAAAAAAAAACAAAACAA